UCCCAAGCAUUGCGAUUCAGAUCAUCAGGAUCAGGGAUCGGAAUGGAUCCAUCAACGAAGGCAAAUUUGUUCUUCGCACCAAGCGCACGUUUCAUCGAACGACUCCAAGCGAGAUAAUUGGAGCCGGUGAGAAGAGGAGUGACCGUAACAGAAUUUGGUCCUUCACUUGGAUGGACAUAGUAAACGGAAUCGGUGUUAGUUUGUGGAACUACAACCGGAGCUACACGAGGAGGCAUGGUUCAAGAGGAAAGAAUGCAAAAA
rnacentral:lncRNA from 1 species